CYGUGSGGAWGCUUACACAUGCAGUCGAACGGAAGUCUUCGGACUUUAGUGGCGGACGGGUGAGUAACGCGUGAGAAUCUAGCUGUAGGUUCGGGACAACAUUGGGAAACUGAUGCUAAUACCGGAUGUGCCGAGAGGUGAAAGCUUGAAGUGCCUAUAGAUGAGCUCGCGUCCGAUUAGCUAGUAGGUGAGGUAAGAGCUCACCUAGGCGAUGAUCGGUAGCUGGUCUGAGAGGAUGGCCAGCCACACUGGGACUGAGACACGGCCCAGACUCCUACGGGAGGCAGCAGUGGGGAAUUUUCCGCAAUGGGCGAAAGCCUGACGGAGCAAUACCGCGUGAGGGAGGAAGGCUUUUGGGUCGUAAACCUCUUUUCUCUGGGAAGAAGGUCUGACGGUACCAGAGGAAUCAGCAUCGGCUAACUCCGUGCCAGCAGCCGCGGUAAUACGGAGGAUGCAAGCGUUAUCCGGAAUUAUUGGGCGUAAAGCGUCCGCAGGUGGUUAGUCAAGUCUGCUGUCAAAGCGUGGAGCUUAACUCCAUACGGGCAGUGGAAACUGGCUGACUAGAGUUUGGUAGGGGUAGCGGGAAUUCCCAGUGUAGCGGUGAAAUGCGUAGAUAUUGGGAAGAACACCGGCGGCGAAAGCGCGCUACUGGGCCGAGACUGACACUGAGGGACGAAAGCUAGGGGAGCGAAAGGGAUUAGAUACCCCUGUAGUCCUAGCUGUAAACGAUGGGCACUAGGUGUUGCGCGUAUCGACCCGAGCCKKGSCCRAARCAAAA
rnacentral:rRNA from 1 species